GCCUUGAUAGCUCAGUUAGUAGAGCAUUAGACUAUCAGGGUUUGAGCUGCACGUUAUGGGUCUGAGCCCCACUUUGGGCA